GUUUCGUAGAGAUAAUGAGAAGAUAUACCAAGAAAAUAAUGGUAUCUUCUUAAGCUUAAUUCAAAUGAUUGCUGAGUUUGAUCCUAUAAUGCAAGAGCAUAUUCGUCGAAUUCAAAAUAAAGAAAUUCAUUAUCAUUAUCUUGGACACAAAAUUCAGAAUGAGUUGAUACUUAUGCUAGCGGGUGAGAUCAAGAAAAUAAUCAUCGAGAAACUCAAAAAAUCCAAGUACUUUUCUAUGAUACUUGAUUGCACUCCAGAUUUGAGUCAUGAAGAACAAAUGUCUAUAGUAUUGAGGUGUGUUGAUAUUUCAGCAAGUCCAGUGAAGGUAGAAGAAUUUUUUUUAGGAUUUUUUUUGGUGGAUGAUACAUCUGGAAAGGGACUUUUUGAUGAAUUAGUGAAUGCGUUGAAUAAUCUAGAGCUUGAUAUCAAUAAUAUAAGGGGUCAAGGAUAUGAUAAUGGUGCUAACAUGAGAGGAAAACAUAAAGGGGUACAGAAUAGACUACUACAAGUAAAUCCUAGAGCAUUUUACACUCCUUGUGGGUGUUAUAGUCUCAAUCUUGCACUUUGUGAUAUGGCUACUUGUUGUACAAAAGCUAAAUCUUUCUUUGGAGUGGUGCAACGUAUAUACACUCUAUUUUCAUCAUCUACUAAAAGAUGGAAAAUUUUUAAAGAUAAUGUAAAUGGCCUUACUCUUAAGCCUUUGUCUCAAACACGUUGGGAAAGUCAUGUUGAAAGUAUUAGAGCAAUAAGAUUUCAAGCUCCACAAAUAAGAAAUGCUCUACUUGAAUUGGCAAGAGUUGAUGAUCCUAAGACAAAAAGUGAGGCGGAGUGUUUGGCAACAUAUGAAAUAGAGAAUUUUGAAUUCUUACUUGGGAUGGUUAUUUGGUAUG
rnacentral:lncRNA from 1 species